GCAGGCCUCCCCUCCUCGCCCUAUUGCUGACGCCCUAUUGCUGACGCCCUAUCGCUGACGCCCACAUUAGACCUUUCCCAAUGUCAGGGGCAUGUCGACCUGCCAAUCUGCAGGUGACGACCUCUUUGAAACUUUGAUGACUAUGUAUCCUGGGCGUGUCUAAUGUAUGUCCUUUGUUCUAAAAAGGCACAAGACUACUGAAAACCAUGCUGCUCCAGAACGGAGGUUUCAUUUCUUUGUGGAAACUGCCCUCCGGGGUUAUAAUCCUCACCCUGGCUCAAGUAAGACUCACCUUCUCUCUCUUAUCUGGAGAAUGGUUCUUGGUUAUUCUGUGUCAACAGCCACCAAGACUGCAAUGUCCCAGGGGGCACGACCCUGUCCUGGGGCACGUGCGAGCUUGCCCCAGGGGAGCUACUGGGCUCCCCACUGCCUGGCUCCUGACAGAGGGGUGCCUUCUCCUGUGGCUCCUCCCAACCCCGACGCCUGUGCAGGGCUCUGCUGGGCUCCUGCAUCCACUCAUGGGAAACACCCAUCUCUGCCAAGUGGCAGCAGCAAUUCUCCAACACCAGCUGGGUGUCCUACAAUUCAACUCAGUUCCGACGCCAUCCACCUGGAGACACAUCGGAUCCCACAGGUCAAGGGCUCGGUCUGCAGACUCCCUCCCCCGCCCUCAGACGCCAGUUGCAAGUCCAGGCUUUUACCUGUGCCUCUGACUGACCAGCCACAGAGGGGAGGCUCCCACAGCCCCCUCCUUAGACUUCAGAGGCCAAAGGAGGUCCAGGUUGUCACCUGCGCUUCUGACCAACCAGCCGUAAAUCAGAGGUUCCCACGACCCCCUCCCUGGGAUGGAUUAAUUGGGUAGAGCAGCUCACAGAACUCAGGAAACCUGUUUACUCACUCGGUUACCGGUUUAUUGCCAAGGAUAUUAAAGGAUACGAAUCAACAGCCAGAUGAAGAGAUACACAGAGCAGAGAGAGGCAUGUGGGAAGGAGCAAGGAGCUUCCGUGCCUUCCCCAAGCCGGCCGCUCUUCCCACAUCUCCACGUGUUCCCCAGCCCAGAAGCCCCCCAAACGCUGUCCUUUUGGGGUUUUAUGGAGGCUUCAUUACAGAGGCAUGAUUGAUUAAAUGACGGGCCAUUGCUGAUGGAACUCAAUCUCCAGCCCCUGUCCCCUCCCCAGGGGUUAGGGGGAGGUGGGACUGGAAGUUCCAACCCUCCCAUCACAGAGUUGGCUCCACUGGCAUCCAGCCCCCAUCCUUAUUCCAAGUCACCUCAUUAACAUAACAGAAGACACCCUUAUUGCCCUCAACGCUGGGGAAACGCCAAGGGUUUUAGGAACACUGGGCCAGAAAUGGGAUGGAUGAAGAAUAAACGUGUAUUUUUUAUU
rnacentral:lncRNA from 1 species